rnacentral:lncRNA from 1 species
ACUCUGGAGCGCGCAUCUCGCCGAAGGAGCCGCGUCUGGGCUUUACUGACGCGCCUAUUUUCAGCGUCCGAUUCUGCGCUCGCGACAAGUGCGGAAGGAGUCGGCCAUUUCCGCUGGACUUCGUACAACUCGGCACUCGUGGAAACCUCUGUCGCCAAGCCGGGCAUCCAGCCAUGGCCAAAGCCAAAGCACGGACCCGUCAACAAGUGUCCAGCUCUGUGCAAGACACUCCUGCAACAAGCGACGUGCAAAGGGAGCAAGGUCCUGUCAUAUUGACUGACGAGAAGAAGCAUCCAGCUACGGCCACAGCGAAAAGACGUACCCGUCAACAAGUGUCCCCCUCGAUCCAAGGCUCUCCUGGAACAAGCGGCGUGGAAAGGCAACAAUGUUCUGUCCCAUUGAGUCAAGUCAAAAAGGCCCCUGGCAAGAUCAGAAUACCCCGUGCACAAACAGACAGCAAGGAUUCGGGAAAGAAACCUCUGCAGUGUGCGCCUGUGCCAGAAAUUUUUCAAGCGCAAGUCGGCGCUGCGAACGCACUUGUUAGUCCACGCAGGUGUGAAACCGUACGCCUGUAAUGCGUGUGACAGGAGAUACGUAACCAAAGCGAGCCUCGUCAUGCACAGUCGCACGC